CCCUUGGGCUCUUGCAAGGGUACUGGAAGCUGCUUGCUCUCUGGGCAAUACCACCCUCCCUCUUACACUCCCCCAGAACUUCCAACCCUUUUCUAAUUUCUUGCAUUAAAUUUUUCUCUCCACAAGGUAUGAAGACUGUUUUCUGUUUACCUCCCUGAAUACUAGCUGAUAAAAAACAGAAAUAAGGAUUUUUCUAUAUCUUUUAUAUAGCUAUAGAAAAGUGUUUUUCUAUAAUUUCUGGGUGUUGGCUUGAUGCUCUAGUUCUCUACCUCUUGGUCUUCUAAAGGAAUUGAUUUGGUCUUCUUUGAAGGUCAUAUAUGUAACUACAUAGAUAUUAUUUUUAUAUAAUCAAAUCAUCUUCAACCUUAUUCUAGUUUAUAUUGUAUAUAGAUAUACCACACUUUAUCUACUUUUGUACCAUGUAAGAUAUUAUAUAUUUAAGUGUUCUUGAUUUAGUUAUCUAUUGUAGCAUAAUAAAUUACCCUCAAACUUAGUGGAUUAAAACAAUAUUCGUGGAUUUCUGUUCCAAGACA
rnacentral:lncRNA from 10 species